AUUUAGAAGCUCAUUUAAAUACAGGAUCAGUUCAUUUGCAUAUUGCUCAGAUGCUUCAGUGCUCUGAGAGUGUUUAUAGUGCUGUGAGUUUAACACUUCAUCACUGACACACACAACAAUCUUCAUCAACAUGACCUUCAUCAUCAUCUUCAUCUGGACUCUCACAGCGUUUGCUCAAGAGAGUAGAGGACAGAUCAGCGUCACUCAGAGUCCCUCAACAGCAGCUCAACCAGGAGAAACAGUGAAGAUCAGCUGUAAAACCAGCAAAGAUGUGUACAUAUACGAAAAUCAGUAUAAUUUUUUAGCCUGGUAUUUACAGAAACCUGGAGAAGCUCCUAAACUCCUGAUUUAUUAUGCAAACACUCUCGAGUCAGGAACUCCAUCUAGAUUCAGUGGCAGUGGAUCUAACAGUGAUUUCACUCUGACCAUCAGUGGAGUCCAGACUGAAGAUGCUGGACAUUAUUACUGUAAGAGUGUACACUACAUCAACAGUCAACAUGUGUUCACACAGUGA